rnacentral:hammerhead_ribozyme from 1 species
AGCCGAAACGGUCAGAAGUGACCGUCAGCCGCGGGAUAGUCUCCCGGCUCUGAUGAUGGCAGACUAGA